AGGUCACGGGGAAAACGUGCAAACUCCGUAAAGACAGCACCCAUCGUCAGGACUGAAUCCUUACUAUAGAUCAGAUUCCUUACUAGGAAUCACUUCAGUUGUUGAGGGUGUGGACAGAUUCUGCCAGGGACAGGAAAGUGUUAGUGGAGGGACAGUAGGGGAUCGAGGUUUACUUUGGAUAUACAGCAUGGAAACAGGCCCUUUGGCCACCUGAGUCCGUGCCCACCCACACACUAGUUCUAUUCUAUACACUAGGGACACUUUAUGGAAGCCAACUAACCUACAAAACUGCAUGUUUAUGUAGUGUGGAAGGAAACUGGAGAAAACCCGUAUCCCUGGUGCUGUGAGGCAGCAACUCUAGCGCUGUGCCACCAUGUCACGGACCAUAACAUCACCUCCUCAUGUUCUCCAGAGAUAGCGGCUGGCCCGGCAAAGCUCGUUCGGGUUGAUUGUGUGUGGACAUUCAAGUGAUGGGUGAAGUGUCAAAUAGAUGAUGCAGGGCACUGUUUACCGUGGAAAAAGGCAUGGGUGUGAGGGAGCUCUGGAGGGGAUAAGGGUGAUGUGUAGGAAGGAACUGCAGAUGCUGGUUUAAAUCGAAGAUAGACACAAAUGCUGGAUUACUCCAGCUUCGGGGUGAGGGUGACGUGUGGAGGAGGGUCCACGCUACAGAAGAGGGGACAGGCACAGAGGUGGAUAGACAGACCCCCGGGGGGCCGAGCAACUGUGGACACCAUCGCCGCCACGAGGAGCAGCACCAACACCCACUGCCUCUCCGACCCUCUCCCCCUUCCCAGCCCAUCCCAGGCCCGGCUCGGCAAAACUGCCACCAACGCCAACGACUCUCACCACCUCCCCGGGGCCAUCGCUCCUAGGACAUGGUGGCAAGCAUGGGGUGGGGUAGCCACGGGUGAGGUGCCGCAGACUGGAGGGGCUAAUGAUGGGCCUCUGGUUAACAUAGAAACAUAGAAAUUAGGUGCAGGAGUAGGCCAUUCGGCCCUUUGAGCAUGCACCGCCAUUAAAUAUGAUCAUGGCUGAUCAUCCAACUCAGUAUCCCGUACCUGCCUUCUCUCCAUACCCUCUGAUCCCCUUAGCCACAAGGGCCACAUCUAACUCCCUCUUAAAUAUAGCCAACUGGCCUCGACUACCCUCUGUGGCAGAGAGUUCCAGAGAUUCACCACUCUCUGUGUGAAAAAAGUUAUUCUCAUCUCAGUUUUAAAGGAUUUCCCCCUUAUCCUUAAGCUGUGACCCCGUGUCCUGGACUUCCCCAACGUCGGGAACAAUCUUCCUGCAUCUAGCCUGACCAACCCCUUAAGAAUUUUUGUAAGUUUCUAUAAGAUCCCCUCUCAAUCUCCUAAAUUCUAGAGAGUAUAAACCAAGUCUAUCCAGUCUUUCUUCAUAAGACAGUCCUGACAUCCCAGGAAUCAGUCUGGUGAACCUUCUCUGUACUCCCUCUAUGGCAAUAAUGUCCUUCCUCAGAUUUGGAGACCAAAACUGUACGCAAUACUCCAGGUGUGGUCUCACCAAGACCCUGUACAACUGCAGUAGAACCUCCCUGCUCCUAUACUCAAAUCCUUUUGCUAUGAAAGCUAACAUACCAUUCGCUUUCUGGAAGGAUACAAGGAAAAGCCUGGGAAUCCAGGCCGGUGAGUCCAACAUCAAUGGAGUCUACACCAAUCCCGUUACUGCUUUCCCAAUGCGCUGCUAUAACAUCUUUAAUCAUCGAUGCUGAUCUUCCCCACCAUCGAUGUAAGGCUAACUGGUCUAUAAUUCCCCAUUUUCUCUCUCCCUCCUCUCUUAAAAAGUGGGGUUACAUUGGCUACCCUCUAGUCCACAGGAACUGAUCUAGAGCCUCCAAUGAUCACCAAUCCAUCCAUGAUUUCUAGGGCCACCUCAUUGAAUACACUGGGAUGCAGACCAUCAGGCCCUGGGGAUUUAUCUGCCUGCAGUCCCAACUGUUUACCCAACACCAUUUUCUGUCUAAUGUGGGUUCCCUUCAGUUCCUCCCUCCCACUAGAUCCUCGGUCCCCGAGUAUUUCCGAAUGAUUGUUUAUGUCUUCCUUAGUGAAGACAGAACCAAAGUACUCCAUAUAACCAUAUAACAAUUACAGCACGGAAACAGGCCAUCUCGGCCCUUCUAGUCCGUGCCGAACACGUAUUCUCCCCUAGUCCCAUAUACCUGCACUCAGACCAUAACCCUCCAUUCCUUUCCCGUCCAUAUAACUAUCCAAUUUAUUUUUAAAUUAUAAAAUCGAACCUGCCUCCACCACUUCCACUGGAAGCUCAUUCCACACAGAUACCACUCGGAGUAAAGAAGUCCCCCCUCAUGUUACCCCUAAACUUCUGUCCCUUAAUUCUCAAGUCAUGUCCCCUUGUUUGAAUCUUCCCUACUCUCAGUGGGAAAAGCUUAUCCACGUCAACUCUGUCUAUCCCUCUCAUCAUUUUAAAGACCUCUAUCAAGUCCCCCCUUAACCUUAUGCGUUCCAAAGAAUAAAGACCUAACUUGUUCAACCUUUCUCUGUAACUUAGUUGCUGAAACCCAGGAAACAUUCUGGUAAAUCUCCUCUGUACUCUCUCUAUUUUGUUGACAUCCUUCCUAUAAUUAGGCGACCAAAAUUGUACACCAUACUCCAGAAUUGGCCUCACCAAUGCCUUGUACAACUUGAACAUUACAUCCCAACUUCUAUACUCAAUGCUCUGAUUUAUAAAGGCCAGCACACCAAAAGCUUUCUUUACCACCCUAUCUACAUCAGAUUCCACUUUCAGGGAACUGUGCAGUUAUUCCUAGAUCCCUCUGUUCAACUGCAUUCCUCAAUUCACUACCAUUUACCAUGUACGUCCUAUUUUGAUUUGUCCUGCCAAGAUGUAGCACCUCACACUUAUCAGCAUUAAACUCCAUCUGCCAUCCUUGAGCCCACUCUUCCAAAUUGCCUAAAUCUCUCUGUAGACUUUGAAAAUCCACUUCAUUAUCCACAACACCACCUAUCUUAGUAUCAUCUGCAUACUUACUAAUCCAAUUUACCACACCAUCAUAAAGAUCAUUGAUGUACAUGACAAACAACAGUGGACCCAACACAGAUCCCUGUGGCACCCCACUAGUCACUGGCCUCCAACCCUACAGACAGCCACCCACCAUUACUCUCUGGUAUCUCCAAUUCAGCCACUGUUGAAUCCAGCUUGCUACUCCACCAUUAAUACCCAACAAUUGAACCUUCUUAACCAACCUUCCAUGAGGAACCAUGUCAAAGGCCUUACUGAAGUCAUUAUAUAUACAACAUCCACUGCUUUACCCUCAUCAAUUUACCGAGUAACCACUUCAAAAAUUUAAAGAAGAUUAGUCAAACAUGACUUUCCAGGCACAAAUCCAUGUACAAAAAUUGUUCAUCCCAGUUUGGCAAAAGAAUAAAUCAGGGAAGGUAGUGCAUCCUUGUGCCUAUCUAACUGUUUCUUUAACGUUGGGAUAGUCCCAGCCUCAACUACCUUGUAGCUUGUUCCAUACACCCACCACCAUGUGAAAAUGUUACCCCUCAGAUUCCUAUUAAAUCUUUUCCCCUUCACCUUGAACCUAUGUCCUCUGGUCCUCGAUUCACCUACUCUGGGCAAGAGACAGUGCAUCUACCCAAUCUAUUCCUCUCAUGAUCUUAUUCACCUCUAUAAGGUCACCCCUCAUCCUCCUACACUCGAAGAGGGCAAGGGGCGGGAGUCUGCACUCACUGAACUUGUUUACAUCCUGCCACUGGCAGGGGCAAGGGCAGAUCAGUGGGCACACAUAUCAUGCCAGGAUGUAGCAUUGGGGUGAAGCAAUCAGCCUUGAUGCUUAGUGUCGGAAGGAACUGCAGAUGCUGGUUUAAACCGAAGAUAGACACAAAAUGCUGGAGUAACUCAGCUGGACAGGCAGCAUCUCUGGAGAGAAGCAAUGGGUUAUGAUUCGUGUCGAGACCUUUCUUACUCGUCCCUUCCCACCCAAACCACCCCCUCCCCAGGUACUCUCCCCAUCAACAGCAGGAGAUGCAACACCUGUCCCCCUCGACUCCCUCCAAGGACCCCGACAUUCUUUUCAGGUGAGGCAGAGGUUCACUAGCACCUCCUCCAACCUCAUCGACUGCAUCUGUUGUUACAUGUGUGGACUCCUGUACGUUGGCGAGACCAAGCGCAGGCUCGGUGAUCGUUCCGCUGAACACCUACGUUCAGUCCGCUUGAUCUCCCGGUGACAGCACUUUAAUUCCCCCUCCCAUUUCUGUCUUGGGCCUCCUCCAUUCCCAGCACAAAUUGGAGGAACAGCAGCUCAUAUUUCGCUUGGGCAGAUUACACCCCAGCGGUAUGAACACUGACUUCUCCAAAUAGCCCUCGCUUUCCCUCUCUCUCCAUCCCCUCCCCCUUCCCAGUUCUCUCACCAGUCUGACUGUUCCUGAUUACAUUUUAUCUGUUUGUUUUGUUGUCACCUUCUCCCCGCUUACAAUGAUCUAUUCUACAUUUUCCUUAAGCUCCAUCCCCUUUGAUGUUUCGUUCUCACACCUUCCACUUCCUUAUCUCUGUAUCUCCCCCUCCCCAGACUCUCCGUCUGAAGAAGGUCUCGAUCUGAAACGUCACCCAUUCCUUCUCUCCAGAGAUGCUGCCAGUCCCGCUGAGUUACUCCAGCUUUUUGUGUCUGGACUUGAUGUUGAGCUUCGUUUAGAGAUGCAGCAUGGACACAGGCUCUUCAGCCCAUCGAGUCCGUGCUGAAACAUCCUGGGCUUUUAUUCCAAAAUCUCAGCCUUGCCCAUAAAUGGUUCCUUCAGCAGGAGGGCAACUACUUAAUAGACGUGGGGGGGGGGGGGGAGACAGAUUGCAUACCCUGCCGCUGCAGAAAUACACACGUCAUUCCAUUCUGCCAUGAGUGGAUUACAUUGUUUUAUAGAAAGACGUAAGUUUAGUGACUGGACACCUUGAUGCUCAUUUUAGUUUGAAGAAGGAUCUUCACCCGAAACAUCACCAGUCCAUUUUCUCCAAAGAUGCUCUGACCAGCUGAGUAACUCCAGCUUUUUGUGUCUAUUACCAAUUCUAUAUCCCUCUUAUAUACAGUAAUUAAAUGCAGUUCCUCCCUCGUCAUUUCCGUGUUUCAGUCAUUUCCGUCCUUCAGUGUUGUGAUGCAGUACAGAAACAGGCCCUUCAGCCCAUUGAGUCCAUUCUGACCAUUGAUCACCCAUUCACACUGGUUCCACUUUCUCAUCCACUCCCUACACACUAGGGGGAUCUGACAGCGGGCUGAUUAACCCACCAACCCAUACGUCUUUGGGAUGUGGGAGGAAACCCACGCCGUCAUGGGGAGAACGUGCAGGCUUGUCAUUGUGGAAGCUGGGGUUUGGGUUAGGAUUAGUGUGGGCUGAAUGGCCUGCUCAUGGCCGUAUUUAUGAUGUUUCAAUGAUCCCCUGGUGGAACCGCAAGGUGUUCUAGCACGCGGGACAGUCAGGGUUCCCAGGGACGGGCCAUGGAUCUGCUUCCCCUCUCCAGAGGAUGUGACUGCAGUUACACGGAGCUAGGACACGGUGGCUGUGGAUAUUGUUAAGGCAGAGAUGGACAAAUUCUUGGGUGUCAAGGGUUAUG